rnacentral:rRNA from 1 species
CCUGNGAACCAAUUGUAAGGGCCCCCUGAAAAGGGCCUUUACGUCUUAUUCAUCAACCCAUUGCAUGUCUCAGAAUGUAAACAUAUGUCCUCGCCUUAAAAAAGCGUUGAUAAACUUAUACAACUUUCAACAACGGAUCUCUUGGCUCUCGCAUCGAUGAAGAACGCAGCGAAAUGCGAUAAGUAAUGUGAAUUGCAGAUUUUCAGUGAAUCAUCGAAUCUUUGAACGCACCUUGCGCUCCUUGGUAUUCCGAGGAGCAUGCCUGUUUGAGUGUCAUUAAAUUCUCAACUCCGAUUCGAUUUGUUUCGACCUCGGAGCUUGGACUUUGGAGCGUGCUGGCGUCGGUCGGCUCCUCUCAAAUGCAUCAGCGGAAUCUAAUGUUUCGGACGUCAGUGUGAUAAUCACGUUGCGCUGUCGACCGAUCCUGAAAGCCCGCUCAUAAUGGUCUUCGGACAACUUCAUAUCAAAUUUGACCUCAAAUCAGGUAGGACUACCCGCUGAACUUAAGCAUAUCAUAG